rnacentral:lncRNA from 1 species
UUUUUAAUAUCUCCCACUGAACUUCUUUGUAUGCGUACAUUCACCUCAAUCAUUUUCUCUGUACACAAUGCAGUAUCGUGGGAAAGAAAAGAUGUCAAAAUGGGAAUAUGAGGUAAUAUUAUUGAAGAAUAAGUGGUCAGAAAUCCCUUCAUCUACUAAAGGAUUUUUCUGUUUUUAUAUAAACUUUAUAUAAAUAUAAGUUAGAAAACUAUGAUACAUUGUAGAAUAGGUUUUUACUAUUGUGUAGAAUAAAAUGUACUGAAAUUUUGGGGUUGUAGCUAUCAGUCUGUAUGUAAGCAUACUGGAUAUGUAAAAAAAAAAAAGAGAGAGAGAUGUAUGGUCAUUUCUGAUAACAUUUAUUGAAAUUUAGGUAGCUGAUUUGUAUUAAACCAUUGAAUGGCCGAAUAAGUUUUGUCCUAAAAUGUUUAAAAUGAGUAAAGUAAAACUCAAAAAAGGUAAUAAUAACUCAUGGUCUCACAGUCCAUGCUGCAGCAGAUAUAAAUCUUGAUCUGACUUUAUUACCUACCUUUUAAAUGAUUUGUACCCUGUAUUAUUCAAGGAUUAUAAUUUUCGUUUCUUCAAAAUAUAACCUAUCUGUAUUGUGGAAACAUUAUCAUGCUUGCUUCUGAUAUUUAGAUAUAAUUUUUAAAGAUUUUAUCUAUGUAUUUUAUGUAUAUGAUGAGUGCACUGUAGCUGUCUUCAGACACCCCAGAAGAGGGCAUUGGAUUCCAUUACAGAUGGUUGUGAGCCAACAUGUGGUUACAGGAAUUUGAACUCAGGACCUAUUGGAAGAGCAGUCUGUGCUCUUAACCACUAAGCCAUCUCUCCAGCCUUAGGUAUAAUUUUUAGAAUCAAGAAAUGAAAAAAAAUAGUAAAUAUAAAUUAUAUGCAGCAGUGUCAAUUCUAUAUUUGAAGGCAACAUAUAGUCUUAAAUAUAUGUAUAUUUUAUUUACUAAUUUUUUAUUGUUAACAAUUGGAAAUAUAAUAUAGUGAAAUGUUUUCUGCUUAAGAAAAUACCAAUACAAUGUUCUGGUUUUAUGACUCUACUUUUCGUUAAUGUAACUGUGAUAGUUUGUAUUUAACAUCUAGAUUCCAUAUUUUAUGUGAAUAAAAGAGUUGUGUUAAUUUCAUCUAGGCUAUCAUACCCAAAGCACUUUCCAUUCACAUUAGUUAUUUGAAUUGUAAAAAUGUCAUAUAGAGUUUUCAUUUAAUACAGAUUAAGAUAUAAUGAUCAAUGAAUCUAUGCUUCCAAUAUAUUAUAUUAACACUGAAUUAUUAUUCAUAUACAUCUAUUUAUAAGUCUGCUUGUACAUACAGUUUAACAGACUUUGGGCAACAUUUAAACAUUCCAAAAGUUGUUAUCUCCAUUUGGCAUCAUAAAUAAUAUAUAAUAAUGUAAAUAUAUUGAAAGUGUUACUAUUUAUUCUUCGCUUACCUAAAAUAGUCUCAAGAUAAAGACAUUGACAAUUAAAAGAAAGGCAAAAUAAGAACAGAAAUAUUUAAGGAAGUUGAAGAAAUAAUCACAGAUAUUAACUUUACAUAAGAUUUCAUAGGAAAAUAUAUGUUGCUAGUCAUGAAUACAGACUUCAAAAGUGGACAUAAUUCUCAGGUACGUGUGUGUGCUUGUAAAUUGGAUUACAUAAUCAUGAUGUACUAAGUUUGUGUUAGAAGGUAUUUGUUGCAUCUGCACAUUUGAAAGACUAGCUCUUGAAUUAUCAUUAUCAACAAGUAUAAAUUAACCACAAUAAAAUGAAGUAUAAUCAAACUUCUGCAAACUAAAUUUUGGUAGUAAUAUAAGUAAAUUAAUCUUGGGCUAGUAAAUUAAAUAAAUUUGUCACUUAAUUUCUAUUAUAAAUAAUAUUAUUUUGUUCUUUGAUACUAUCUUAUCUCCCAAGAAAAGCAAUUAUUAUUCCAGAUUAUAGUUCUUUGGGAGGCUUCUAAAUUGCUUGGUACAGAAACUGUUAAAGAUUGUUCAUCUACAGUAGCUGAAGGGGUUUGCAACCCCAUAGAAAGAACAACAACAUCAAUCAACCAGACCCUGCAAAGCUCCCAGGGACUAAACACUAAUCAAGGUACACAUUGGGGUCCCAUGGCUCCAGCCUGAUAUGUAGCAGACGAUUGCCUUAUCAGGGAGACUCCCUUAGUCCUGUGGAGACUUUAUGACACAGGGUAGUGUAGUGUGGGCACCAUCACAGAAGCAGAGGGAGGGGAGAGGGGGAAGAGAUGGGGGUUUGCUGAGGGUAAACUGGGAAGGGGGUGACAUUUAAAAUGUAAAUAAAUAAAAUAACCAAUAAAAAUGAAAAAAGAAAUUAUUUCUCAUGCUGGGUUUCCCACUAUGAUCUACCAUAUGAUUGUUCAUACCAUAUAGUCAUAUUCUGUUGGAUAAAUGAAGAAAGCAAAGGUUAGGGGGAAUUUUCAUUCUAUGACCUCUAAUUGGUGUCAUUUCUCUUCAUCUUCCUAAGGAAAAGAAAUAUGUCAUAGUUUUAAUGUGGGCUUUUUGAUCCAGUGCUGGUUAUAUGUUUUGCAGGAGGCUCAACAAAGUAAGAGAGUGGGCUAGGGAACCAGAUAAGGUGGUUUUCAUUUUGGUUCCUUAUCUUGAUUAUCUUAAAUUAAGCUGGUUAUAAUAUUUUUCACCUAAUGUUUAUUUUGUGUUUAUUACCUCAUGCAUAAAAUGGUGAUAAUAUCAUCUGUAACAGUCAUUUGUAACAAAAUGUUCCUCCUUCUCUUUGUAUGAGCAUGGCUAUGUUUGUCUUUGUGAAAGACAUGGGUAAGCAGGAUAAUAAAAUAAUAAUUUAGAGAGUAUAGAUAUUAAUAAAAUUAUCUUUAAUAU